GGUGCUGAAAAGACAACUCUAUGGGCAGCUGAGUUCUGCCUCCUGGGUUGACUACACUGCAGCAAGUGGAAUCUGAAUUCCUCAAGUCUGUGAAAAGACCCGGGAAUUCACCAGACACUUAUGAGGGAAGUUCGGUAUCAGGUGCUCUGCUAGACAUGUGGUAAACAUAUGAUGAAGAGCACAGUCCCUGCGGUAUGAAAAUGAGGGCCCAGCACUUGGAACAGAACUGAGAGGGCCUCAGCCUUGACUCAAACGGAACCCAGCAACAUCUAACUGAAAACUAAACCCAGUGCAAGAAAUUCAUCCUAAUGUGUUUUGCCAUCAACAGGAAAAGACAUUUGGAUGAGUGGCUACAAAUGGGAAUGUCCCCAGUCAGAGAUCCCAGAAGAGUGUAGGACUGGUUGUCAAGGGCCUUCCUAGAAUUAAGACUGCACUCCUUCCAGUGAGGACAAUCAAGGGUGAGCAACUGUCAACAACGAGAGGGAGCAACGUGGGUGACUAGAAAGGCUGCCCUCUCAGAACACAGGAAACCCUGCACACGGUGUCCCCCCAGUUCUGAGAGGGCACGUGAGAGACAACUCUAACCUUGAUAUUUGUCUAAUCCUGUAGAGGUAAGGGGCAGAUAACUCCUGACAUGGCUGAUCUAUCUUGCCUUCUUGAAAAAUGUCCCCUCUCUAUAGUGACCUGCAGAGGGGGAUCAAGCCCUUUCUCUGCAGGUGCCCAGCACAUGCUCACAUGUACUGAUGACAGCUGGAAAGCUGGUCAGGGGACCUGGCAUCUUGGCUAUCUGCCCGCUUUUGUUGAAACCCCUUGACGUGUCAGCUGGACUCAGCAGUUGAUGUUUUCACGCAGUGUAAUACACAGCCUCAGAGACUCUGCCAUUUAUUUAUUUGUUACUUUUCCACAGCCACCUGCUCCUGGGUGGGUCUGCGGCUCUGCCAUGCACUUUCUGGAAUCUCCAGUCCUCCCCAUACCUUGUCUCUUUUGACCACACCACCAGCUUUCACCCUCCUCCUCACAGCCUCACCCCAACCUUCUGGGCCCCAUCUUUGACUCCAGGGUGUCCGAUCUCAAGGUUUUCUGUCCUGGUUGCUGCUUGUGCAAGGCUUCCAGAGGGCCAUCAGGCAGGGUCAUCCAAGGAAGGGUCUCAUCUUCCAGGGAAGUUGAGGGUUCAGGUCUUCUCUGACCAGCCACUACCACAAAUGUAUGCAUCAGUCUCCUUUCCAGGACCACCGUGCCCACAUUUUCCCUGCCAGGAAGGAAGGAGAACAAAAGGAAGUACAGUUAGUGACAUGAUGGAGGGACAUACGAGGACGCCACCAAGAAACAUGAGGAUUCAGCUUCUUUCCUGGCUCGUCAGUAGUGGCACUGUGUCACCCCAUCCCCCAUCAGAACCUUAAUCCUGGGCUCCCCAGUUUGCUCAGACCAUCCUCCCACCACCCACUUGGACCCAACAACUCACCAGCAGCUACUAGACAUGUGGCCUGAAGCCAUUUCUGCAUGACUUGUCUUUCUACACUGCUGUCCUUAAUUCUCUACCUUGAAUAGUCCCUUAAUCCCCCGAGAAUCAAGUCCAAGCAAUCUGCUUGCCUUCCAGACUGCCAAAGUGCUGCCUUCCAUAAUCCACCCAGCUGGUCUCCCUCUAACACUUCUGGUCAUCUACUUAUACCUCAGGGGGACAUAUCUGAUCCUCAACAGGAAUUCAAGUAAGGAAUAACCCUCCUUCCCUGGAAGAGUCCUUGCAACGGCCUGACUCCUCCCUUAUCCCACUCCCCAGAGUGCUUCUGUUUCCCAUGCCUACCUUCCUCAGUUCUCCCCUCCAGACCCAGUGAAACCCCACCACCCACAUGAGCCUCUCCCACCAUCCCCAGGAUGAGUGAUCUCUCCCCUCUUCUCUGAUUUCCUGCCGCUCUACUGUGUGUUCAUUCUCAUGACACAGUGUGGUUGGUUUCUAUUGGAAAGUGAGUGAAAUAUUCAGCUCAAAGUGUCAGGUGCCUGCCUCUACCAGGCCCUGGGUACGGAACUCCUCAUUUGUCAACCCUGAGGAGAUGCGUGUGUCUCUGUCACUAGCAUAGAGCACUUUAAGAGCAGGCCUGUGGUUAUCUAAACACAAACCAACCAACAUCACCUGCAGCUCUGUUUCUGCAUGUGUGAAAACGGGCAUGACAAUGACAUGGUUGUUCCAAGUGUGUAGAGCUAGCCCAAGAUCCAGGUGUUUGUGAAACUGCUUUGGGAAAAGUGAAGAAUCACAAGAACUCCAGGUGAUGUUAUUAUCAUGCCUAUGCCAUGGAGUCCUGCAGGAUGAAGAUAUCUAAUACUUGUAAUUUCAAUUAAUUGGGAGCCUGCCCAAGGGUCCCACAUCUGGAGGGACCUCACUGAAGCAUGAAUUGAAGGCAAGAGCAGAGGGCCUGCGAGGACUAAGAGUCGCUGACCUUCUAGCCAUGAAAGGACAAGGAUGUCACCCUGUGCUUUCAACUGGCCUCACCACUAGGCAGCAGCUCCUACACAGAGGUUACAAACAAACAGGAGCCAGGCACAGUGGUAAAAGCCUGUAAUCCUAGAGGUUCUGGAGGCUUGGGAGGCUGAGGCUGCCUCAGCAACAGCGAGGCACCAAGCAACUCAGUGAGACCCUGUCUCUAAAUAAAAUACAAAAUAGGGAUGAGGAUGUGGCUCAGUGGUUGAGUGAGUCCAAUCUCCAGUACCAAUAAAACAGAAAAGAAAGAAAAAAAAAGAUGGAUGGGGGAGGGGUCCUUCCUAAAGCCCCACAAAAAAUAACAGUAACAAAAUAAUUUUCAAAGAGGAAGGUAGAAGUGAAGUAAUAAAGAAAAUUAAAAUCAGGAGAGUAGAUGAUGGAAGGAACAGCAUUGAAUUUGGAAGGCCAAGAUUUAGGCCAUGCCAUUGAAAUAGAAGUUAAUUAACUCCAGGGAACCCACAGAUGCUCAGAGUUGGAGAUAACCCAGUACAACAGAAGCAGGGUCAAAAAAUGAUCACAGUGAGACACACCCUUCCAGCUCUCCUCCUCCAUCUCAGAAAGCCACGCUGCUACGCAUUCACUAACCUACCAAAAGAUGAGACGUUUAUUGCAGAGAAACUGGAUCAGAAGUGCUGGAGUUGGGAACAGCUGUCACUGUGUAAGACAGGCUGGUGUGGUGCACUGAAAAUAGGGGGCUUAAGGUUGUGAUGUGAGAGACCACAUGCUCAGUGGUGAGACAGUCUGCCACCUUCCUUGCUCUGCUCCCAGAACAGUAUCAGGCAGACAGUAUCUUUCCUGGAGGAAACAAAGAGCUCCAAAAGAGAAGGACCUACAGCCAUUGGUUCCCAGAAGUCCCCAGUAAGACGUCCUGAUCCAGCUUCAUCACCUUGCAGUGAGCUCACCACUCAACAAGCCCAGACUCAGAGCCACCAACCAGCUUAUUAGCACUCUACUCUUGAAAAUAAACAGGUAUCCUCGUAGGACAAAAAUCCAAGGAAAACUUCCAAUAGUUCAAAACAGAAGAGAAAAGCAGGGGAAACAGAAAAUCCCAGAAUCAGAAAAAUACUUGGAAAAUAUUCUAAAUCCCCUGAUAAAUGAGAGAACAUUUUACAUAUGAAACAAGAAUAGACUGUCUUGAAAAAAUGAACCACCCAAGAAGAAAAGAUAUUCUUAAAAAUCAUAAAAAAUACGUUAACCAAAAUUUAAAUGCCAAUUGAAGAUCUAGAAGACAAUGUGGAGGAAGACUUCCAGAAAUCAAGACAAAACUAUCAUGGAAAAGAGAAAAGAUAAAGAAACUUGAGAACCAAUCCAGGAGAUCCGAAGUCUGAUUAAUAGAGUUCUAGAUAAAGAAAAUGGGCAAAAAGAAUGGGGGAAAAAUAAUGAAAUAAUUAAAGAAAAAUGUUCAACAGUUGAAAAACAUGCAUUUCAGACCAAGAGUGCUCACUGAACAACCGUUAAAGGGGAUAAAACUAGUCCUACAAAGUCCAGGACCAUGAAAUCUAGAAAUUAGGAUGGCAUCAGAUUUUACCAAAAGCAUCACAAGGAGUUAGAAGAUAAUAGAGGUGAUUGUCAACCUAAAAUGCUAUUCUCAUCCAAGCAAGUGGUUUCCUAGUCCAGAGGUGAAGGAAAGCAUUGGAUAAAGUCAAGUUUAAGGUGAAAGUUAGCCUGGUAUGUCCACAUGAACUAGGAGGAGAUUUACAUUGCUCAGGAGACAUUUACUGAACCCCCACCCUCCUUUUGGGCAUCAAACAAUGACAAGUAUAUAAAAAAAUUAAGCAAUAAAAAGAAGAUAUUUAGCAAUUCCAUAGGAAAAUAAAGUCAUGUGAGCAAUGAAAAAUAAUUAUAGCACAGAACACUACGUGGCUCAAUGAGGAAUAAUAUUUACACAGUCAUAAUAAAGUGAACUGAAUAGUGAGCUAAUAAAUAUCAUGACAUUUA